GGGCUCGUGGCUCAGCUGGGAGAGCGCCGCGUUCGCAACGCGGAGGUCGAGGGUUCGAUCCCCUUCGGGUCCA
rnacentral:tRNA from 1 species